UGCCAGCCGCCGCGGUAACACGGGGGGCGCAAGCGUUAUUCGGAUUUACUGGGCGUAAAGGGUGCGAAGGCGGCAAAGUAUGUCAGGUGUGAAAUCCCGGGGCUCAACUCCGGAACUGCGCCUGAAACUACUUUGCUAGAGACUCGGAGAGGUAAGCAGAGAAAACGGAAUACCAUGUGUAGCGGUGAAAUGCGUAGAUAUAUGGUGGAACACCCGUGGCGAAGGCGGUUUUCUGGCUUAUUCCUGACGCUGAGGCGCGAAAGCGUGGGCAGCAAACAGGAUUAGAUA
rnacentral:rRNA from 1 species